rnacentral:rRNA from 1 species
AAUGAACGUUGGCGGCGUGGAUUAGGCAUGCAAGUCGCGCGAGAAGCCUCCUUCGGGAGGGGGAAAGCGGCGAAAGGGAGAGGAACACGUGGAUUAUCUGCCCCUGGAAUCAGGAUAGCCGCGGGAAACUGCGGGUAAUACUGGAUAACGUCUCCGGACCAAAGGUGUGAAUCCGUCCAGGGAUGAGUCCGCGUCCUAUUAGCUAGUUGGCAGGGUAACGGCCUACCAAGGCGAUGAUGGGUACCGGGUGUGAGAGCAUGGCCCGGCUCACUGGGACUGAGACACUGCCCAGACACCUACGGGUGGCUGCAGUCGAGGAUCUUCGGCAAUGGGCGCAAGCCUGACCGAGCGACGCCGCGUGCGGGAUGAAGGCCUUCGGGUUGUAAACCGCUGUCAGAGGGGAUGAAUGGCCGGUGGGCACUCCCAUCGGUUUGACAUAGCCUCAGAGGAAGUACGGGCUAAGUUCGUGCCAGCAGCCGCGGUAAAAC